rnacentral:rRNA from 1 species
CACGUAGGGUGCGAGCGUUGUCCGGAAUUAUUGGGCGUAAAGAGCUCGUAGGCGGUGUGUCGCGUCGGCCGUGAAAACCUGCAGCUUAACUGUGGGCUUGCGGUCGAUACGGGCAUCACUGGAGUUCGGCAGGGGAGACUGGAAUUCCUGGUGUAGCGGUGGAAUGCGCAGAUAUCAGGAGGAACACCCGUGGCGGAAGGCGGCUCUCUGGGACGGUACUGGACGCUGAGACGCGAAAGCCGUGGGGAGCGAACAGG